rnacentral:lncRNA from 1 species
UUUGAAUUUAUUGAGAUAGUUCAAAUUGUUAGUUUGAUUUUAAUUUAGAUUAUCUUAAUUUGUUGGAGUCUGUUGUCGAAGAUAGUGAUGGCUAGUUAGAACGUAGGAUAAACUUGAGUUGUUUUGAAGAUUGUUGGAGUACGUGAAAAUUUAUCCAAGUUAUUAGAUUGUGCAGUUAGUUUGUUCUAUUUUAUUAUAUAAAUAAAAGACAAAUCGAGCUCUAAUGUGAGUAAUUUAUAACUAUCUCUCAUUUUUUAUAUUACAACUUGUGGGCAAGUUUUUAACAAAUGCAACCUAAUGCCUC